AUGGGCGUGACCCUGCCUCGGCCGGCGCCGCGGCGGUGUAAGCCUGAGGCGGCCUUGGGGCCUUUCCAGAGAGCCGUCGGGGGCGCCGUGGCCCCGGGGGGUGUAACGCCGCCUCGGCCCGCGCCCCGGCGGUGGAAGCCCGGGACGAGCUCGCCUCCUCCGUGUGCCCUUCCGACACAGACCGAGGUGGGGGUGCUUGAACAGGGGGCGGCGCUGCCUCUGGGGGACGCCUCACGGUCUGUCCCGUGUCCCUGCUGCGGCUGGGCCGUGCCGUACCCCGCGGUGGGGGACGGGCCGGGCCCGGGCUCUGUGCCGGCAGCCACUGCCCCCCCCGCUCCGGAUUCGUGUGGCCUGGAGGCGGGUUCUGCGAGUGCUGCGGACGCCGGGCCGAGUUCUGCCGACCCCACACUGCCGCUUUUCCCCCCUGCGAGCCCGGGCUGUUCCCUGGCAGCAGAGGAGGACAAUGCCGCGGCUUUGCAGGCUGUGCCUGUACUGGCGCCCCGGUCCGCCCCCGCGUCGGGAGCGGGCUGUGCUGAACUGCUUCCAAACCCCCCCGCCUCGGGUUCGCAGGCAUCACCCAAGCCUGCGGCUGGAGCCACCCCUCCCCUGUCGCCUCCGGCGGCUGUGGCAGAGCAAGGGCCUGAGGUGUUUAACACUGGCUCGGGUGGUUUUGCCGUGGGGGAAGAGUCGGUGGCCUUGACGGGCCAGGGGUCCCAGGCUGCUGGAGCCUCUUCGGCUGGCCUGUGGACUUUGUCCUCUUGUAAAAUGACUGUGCAGCUGAGCGUAUCAGGCAUUCCCUGUGCUUCCAAAUGCUUUGGUCCGGUGGGUGAGGGCAUGAGUGCUCUUCUUGUGGCGUUUUUGAAUGUCACUGCCCAUGGCACCAUUGCUCACCUAGGGGACACUGUUUCUAUCCCUGUGGGACCUGGAUUUGCUCACCUUGUGCCUUUUGAGUUUUAUGUUUGCAGAGCUGGGAUCCAGCUGCGAGGAGAUGGUGGCUUCUGGUUCCCUGGACCUCCCUGA
rnacentral:lncRNA from 1 species